AACGUGCCCUUUCGGUUCGGGACAACUCCGGGAAACUGGAGCUAAUACCGGAUAAGCCCUUCGGGGGAAAGAUUUAUUGCCAAAGGAUCGGCCCGCGUCUGAUUAGCUAGUUGGUGAGGUAAUGGCUCACCAAGGCGACGAUCAGUAGCUGGUCUGAGAGGAUGAUCAGCCACACUGGGACUGAGACACGGCCCAGACUCCUACGGGAGGCAGCAGUGGGGAAUAUUGGACAAUGGGCGCAAGCCUGAUCCAGCCAUGCCGCGUGAGUGAUGAAGGCCCUAGGGUUGUAAAGCUCUUUUGUCCGGGAAGAUAAUGACUGUACCGGAAGAAUAAGCCCCGGCUAACUUCGUGCCAGCAGCCGCGGUAAUACGAAGGGGGCUAGCGUUGCUCGGAAUCACUGGGCGUAAAGGGCGCGUAGGCGGAUCUUUAAGUCGGGGGUGAAAGCCCAGGGCUCAACCCUGGAAUUGCCUUCGAUACUGAAGAUCUCGAGACCGGAAGAGGUAAGUGGAACUGCGAGUGUAGAGGUGAAAUUCGUAGAUAUUCGCAAGAACACCAGUGGCGAAGGCGGCUUACUGGUCCGGUUCUGACGCUGAGGCGCG
rnacentral:rRNA from 1 species